rnacentral:rRNA from 1 species
UGGGCUUUAACUGACGCUGAGGCUCGAAAGCGUGGGGAGCAAACAGGAUUAGAUACCCUGGUAGUCCACGCCGUAAACGAUGAUUACUAGGUGUGGGGGGACUGACCCCUUCCGUGCCGCAGUUAACACAAUAAGUAAUCCACCUGGGGAGUACGGCCGCAAGGCUGAAACUCAAAGGAAUUGACGGGGGCCCGCACAAGCAGUGGAGUAUGUGGAUUAAUUCGAAGCAACGCGAAGAACCUUACCAGGUCUUGACAUCGUGAGCAUAGCAUAGAGAUAUGUGAAAUCCCUUCGGGGACUCAUAGACAGGUGGUGCAUGGUUGUCGUCAGCUCGUGUCGUGAGAUGUUGGGUUAAGUCCCGCAACGAGCGCAACCCUUAUGUUUAGUUGCUACGCAAGAGCACUCUAAACAGACUGCCGUUGACAAAACGGAGGAAGGUGGGGAUGACGUCAAAUCAUCAUGCCCCUUAUGACCUGGGCCUCACACGUACUACAAUGGCUAUCAACAAAGUGAAGCGAGACCGCGAGGUGGAGCAAAACACAAAAAAUAGUCUUAGUUCGGAUUGUAGGCUGCAACCCGCCUACAUGAAGUCGGAAUGCUA